UACUUUAGCGAUUUCCUAAGCAACUGUAAGUUUUGUCAUCGGUCACAGUAACAGCCAAUGGAAGAGUUUACAGAGUAUUUCUUGGAAAACGUUGAUACAACAGCAUUUUUCUUGCUUCUUUUUCAAUCUCUUUCUUGCUUGUUUUGAUCUUUUGGUCUAACUACACCACAAGGUAUUGAAAUGAUCGCGAUUAGGUCAUCGGGAGAUAGCCUGAAAAAGUUCAGUUCAACUAACAAUAAUUCAUUCUCUCCACCCAUACAUUAACAUGCGCCAUUCAAUCAAGCCAAACAGGAGCAAGAGUUUUACUUCAUCUUAUCUACUGGUUUUUUCGAGUUAAUUACAUUAUCAUACAAUCUAUCGCUGUUAUUAACGUCCAUUUAUGAUUCCUUUGUCCAUCUAAACCAGCCUUUAUCACCCGAAUUAGGAAUGGAUAUCAAUUGAUAAAGUUGACCUGUAAAUUGGUGAAAAAUCAAAUUAAUGGAGAGCAAAUCAACUGAUUUUUCCAGAAAAGAUAUCAAUUUAAAUUUUCAGGUUUCAAUAACCUAUUGUUGAAGGAUAAUAAAUAUGAUGGCUAUAAUGGUGGUGAUAAUAUUGACCAGCUCUAGGCAAUGUCCUUGGUUAUACAAAGUAUAUUUCAAAUCUUUUCGACUUUCUCAUAUCAAUGGUAAAACCUAAUUGAUUGUUACCAGUAAAGUAAACCGUGAACAUCAAGGAACCUGGAAUUUGGAUUUAGACAUUUAAAGACAAUCAAAAC